UACAGAGGUCUCAAGCGUUGUUCGGAUUCAUUGGGCGUAAAGGGUGCGUAGGCGGCGCGGUAAGUCGGGUGUGAAAUCCCUGGGCUCAACUCAGGAACUGCAUUGGAAACUGGCAGGCUGGAGUACCGGAGAGGGAAGCGGAAUUCCUGGUGUAGCGGUGAAAUGCGUAGAUAUCGGGAGGAACAUCAGUGGCGAAGGCGGCUACCUGGCCCAAUACUGACACUCAGGUGCGACAGCGUGGGGAGCAAACAGG
rnacentral:rRNA from 1 species